rnacentral:lncRNA from 1 species
GGUUGCUUUUUCUCACCGGCGUGUGCUCCUCUAGCGGGCCUGCCUGCUUCCCCUUUGCUUGGUGGCUCCUUGGUCACUCCAUGGUCAUUUUUCAAUCAUCGUGAUGGCGCCCCUUCCUACUGUGCCUGCAGAUGUUCCUCAUCGUCAUCAUUGUGGAUUACUCGCUGCCAUCCCAUCGCUUUAGCUAUCAUUCAGGCCUCAGCGGUCUACUGUGCGGAGUUGGUUUUGGGGGCCUUUGGCGAAAGCCUGGCUGGGUAUUUGCCGGGACUACGACGGUUGCGUACUUGGAUGUAGCUCACCUUGCUGUGGGGUAUUGUUGCGGCCACCAAAUCCAUUAUUUUUUGCUAGGUGAAGACUUGGUCUGCUCUCCUGGAGACAGACGGACGAUGGCGGCGUUGGCGGUGCUUCCUCCCUGGAGGCAUCGUUUUGCAAGACCUUCUCACUCUACCUCCACUGGCUUCUGGUUGUUAGACAGUCGGUGACGUACGUGUGUUCAUGGCGUCUUUCUCUCCUGCAAGUUUAAGUCAUCUUAGGUCAUGUUUUGUGUGGUGGUGGUGAAGUGAUUUUCUUUUCUGUUGUCGUGUUUGUGUUAUUUAUCACUAGUCGUGGCUCUUGCAACUCUGCACUUUGGAAUUUCUCCUAGAGAUAUAUCGUUGUAAUUCUCCUCUUCUUAAUUAAAAACGUGUUAUGCACGUCUUAAAAAAAAGAAAUAUUAGUCUCCAAAAAUUUCUACUAAAAAAAUUAAAGCAACCAUGGACCAGUUUUGCAGACAGUGGCAUCAUUGUUGUCUAGUUUUUUCCUUGUAAGAUGACAUAUAUCACAUAUGAGACGGAGCACCAGUCCCAUCUGGUGCACCACUGAUAAAAUCCAUUGAUAAAACCCGUUGGCACUAGGAAGUAUCGGUAGCGGCUACUGGUACCUUUGCACGAGAGAUACAUGCAAGCUAAGUUGAAACACUGACAGCAUUGGAAGGCUGCAUCAGCUUGUGUGCGGGGUUAAAUACAAAC